GAAAAUGAAAGGGAGUUGCCCUACCAGGGAGCGCGGAGACAGGUGGUGCAUGGCUGUCGUCAGCUCGUGUCGUGAGAUGUUGGGUUAAGUCCCGCAACGAGCGCAACCCACGUUUUUAGUUGCCAUCAUUCAGUUGGGCACUCUAGAGAGACUGCCGUGGACAACACGGAGGAAGGUGUGGACGACGUCAAGUCAUCAUGCCCCUUACAUCCUGGGCUACACACGUACUACAAUGCGACGGACAGAGGGCAGCGAGCGUGCGAACGUCAGCAAAUCUCUUAAACCGUGGCACAGUUCAGAUUGCAGGCUGCAACUCGCCUGCAUGAAGGAGGAAUCGCUAGUAAUCGCAGGUCAGCAUACUGCGGUGAAUACGUUCCCGGGUCUUGUACACACCGAGA
rnacentral:rRNA from 1 species